rnacentral:rRNA from 1 species
UGGGGAAUCUUGCACAAUGGGGGAAACCCUGAUGCAGCGACGCCGCGUGAACGAUGAAGCCCUUCGGGGUGUAAAGUUCUUUCGACAGGAACGAUAAUGACGGUACCUGGAGAAGAAGCUGCGGCUAACUACGUGCCAGCAGCCGCGGUAAUACGUAGGCAGCGAGCGUUGUUCGGAGUUACUGGGCGUAAAGAGUGCGUAGGCGGCGAGCCAAGUUUGGUGUGAAAUCUCCCGGCUUAACUGGGAGGGUGGGCCGAAAACUGCAAGGCUCGGGUACUGGAGAGGAAAGCGGAAUUCCUGGUGUAGCGGUGAAAUGCGUAGAUAUCAGGAGGAACACCGGUGGUGUAGACGGCUUUCUGAACAGUCACUGACGCUGAGACACGAAAG